AAAGCUAUUAACUAAAUGUCAUCCUGGGACUUGAUUCCUUCACUAAAGGUUUUAUGGGCACAAACACAAGCUGAACAUCCACAGACACGUCUGUAUGGACUCAUGUGUUGAUCUCAAUAAGCAUCUUCCAUCCCCAAGGAUGCCUGCAUCUGAAUUUGGUGCCUCUACUCUUCAUUGAUAAUGUCUUCUUAAUCUAUUUGAAUUUCUGGUUUCACCCUUGCAGGAUUACAUGGCUAUUCUCAGGAGUAGCCAUCAAAUUGCUGGUUUCACCCUUUUCAAUGGUUUCAUUGACUUGGAUGCACAUGAUACACUAGCCUUGAAGCUCAAAGGAGAUGGGAGAUGUUACCUUUCUACUUUGGAUGGUUAGGAUUGUCCAUCAAUAGGAUUUGCAUCUCUUCAAAGUGUUAGUGAAGUAUUGCCACAUCCUGGCCGAGGAGGGGAUUAGAAUGGUCCAGCGGAGGAGCAACAAAUCAAUGGUGCCAUAGCCUCAGGUUCAAUUGAUCCUGCAUUCCUAGAUGCUCUUCCGGAGGAGUUACGAGCCGAAGUUCUUAAUGCUCAACAGAGUCAAGUGGCCCAGCCAUCAAGUGAACCACCUCAAUCUGCGGGAGACAUUGAUCCUGAAUUCCUUGUUGCCCUCCCCCCAGAUAUUCGAGCAAAAGUGCUGGCACAACAACAAGCUCAAAGACUACAUCAAUCACAUGAAUUGGAAGGCCAACCAGUUGAAAUGGACACUGUUUCAAUAAUUGCGACAUUUCCUGCUGAUUUGCGGGAAGAGGUGCUCUUAACAUCUUCAGAUGCUAUUCUGGCCAAUCUAACACCCGCCCUUGUUGCGGAGGCAAAUAUGUUACGUGAAAGGUUUGGUCAUCAAUAUCAUAGCCGCACGCUUCUUGGCAUGUACCCCAGAAACCGGCGGGGUGAGUCUUCUAGACGGGGUGAUGCUAUUGGAUCAAGCCUUGAUAGAUCUGCAAGAGGCAUCUCCUCGCGUAGAACUGCAGGAGGUUGUCUCCCAAUGACUUAGAAUGCUCUACAUUUGCAUCAACCUCUUUAGGAUCUGAAUGUGGGAUGGGUUUGUGGUGCAUGAAAUGUAAUCGGCUGCUAAUUUUGUUGUGUUAGCUGUUGUUGGUCUCUUGUGCCAGUGUUGUAACUCAAUUGUCAUAUUUGAUAGGUGAGGCCUGGAUUUUUAUUUAUUUAAGCCCCACCCAAAUGAAUGUGUAUAUUUUUCAAUUAAUAAAAUUUCAGGUGG